ACUGCUCAGUAACACGUAGUCAACCUACCCUAAAGCCCGUGAUACCCUCGGGAAACUGAGGCUAAUAACGGAUAGGAGAUUUUUUCUGGAAUGAUUAAUCUCUCAAAGCUAGCUUUAGGAUGGGACUGCGGCUGAUUAGGUAGUUGGCGGGGUAAAUGCCCACCAAGCCGAUGAUCAGUAAGGGCUCUUAGCGGAGAAGCCCUGAGAGGGAAUCUGAGACACUAUUCCCAGCCCUACGGGGUGCAGCAGUCGGGAAAAUUUUGCAAUGCACGAAAGUGUGACAGAGCAAGCCAAAGUGCUUUUCUAUAUUUGAAAAGCUUUUUUGAGAUGUAAAAAGUCUCACGAAUAAGGACUGGGUAAGACUGGUGCCAGCCGCCGCGGUAAUCCCAGCAGUCCAAGUCGCAGCCACAUUUAUUGGGUCUAAAACAUCCGUAGCUUGCUUUGUAAGUCUUUUGUGAAAUCGGGACUCUUAAGGUUCCGGCGAGCAAAAGAUACUGCUUAGCUAGAGACCGGGAGACGUAAUGAGUACAGAUAGAGUAACGGUAAAAUGUGUUGAUCCUAUCUGGACUAACAAUAGCGAAGGCACGUUACGAGAACGGAUCUGACAGUGAGGGAUGAAGGCUAGGGGCGCAAAACGGAUUAGAUACCCGUGUAGUCCUAGCAGUAAACACUGCACACUGAACAU
rnacentral:rRNA from 1 species